GGGACACGUGGUAUCCUGUCUGAAUAUGGGGGGACCAUCCUCCAAGGCUAAAUACUCCUGACUGACCGAUAGUGAACCAGUACCGUGAGGGAAAGGCGAAAAGAACCCCGGCGAGGGGAGUGAAAAAGAACCUGAAACCGUGUACGUACAAGCAGUGGGAGCACAGAGCAAUCUGUGUGACUGCGUACCUUUUGUAUAAUGGGUCAGCGACUUAUAUUCUGUAGCAAGGUUAACCGAAUAGGGGAGCCGAAGGGAAACCGAGUCUUAACUGGGCGUUAAGUUGCAGGGUAUAGACCCGAAACCCGGUGAUCUAGCCAUGGGCAGGUUGAAGGUUGGGUAACACUAACUGGAGGACCGAACCGACUAAUGUUGAAAAAUUAGCGGAUGACUUGUGGCUGGGGGUGAAAGGCCAAUCAAACCGGGAGAUAGCUGGUUCUCCCCGAAAGCUAUUUAGGUAGCGCCUCGUGAAUUCAUCUCCGGGGGUAGAGCACUGUUUCGGCAAGGGGGUCAUCCCGACUUACCAACCCGAUGCAAACUGCGAAUACCGGAGAAUGUUAUCACGGGAGACACACGGCGGGUGCUAACGUCCGUCGUGAAGAGGGAAACAACCCAGACCGCCAGCUAAGGUCCCAAAGUCAUGGUUAAGUGGGAAACGAUGUGGGAAGGCCCAGACAGCCAGGAUGUUGGCUUAGAAGCAGCCAUCAUUUAAAGAAAGCGUAAUAGCUCACUGGUCGAGUCGGCCUGCGCGGAAGAUGUAACGGGGCUAAACCAUGCACCGAAGCUGCGGCAGCGACGCUUAUGCGUUGUUGGGUAGGGGAGCGUUCUGUAAGCCUGUGAAGGUGUACUGUGAGGUAUGCUGGAGGUAUCAGAAGUGCGAAUGCUGACAUAAGUAACGAUAAAGCGGGUGAAAAGCCCGCUCGCCGGAAGACCAAGGGUUCCUGUCCAACGUUAAUCGGGGCAGGGUGAGUCGACCCCUAAGGCGAGGCCGAAAGGCGUAGUCGAUGGGAAACAGGUUAAUAUUCCUGUACUUGGUGUUACUGCGAAGGGGGGACGGAGAAGGCUAUGUUGGCCGGGCGACGGUUGUCCCGGUUUAAGCGUGUAGGCUGGUUUUCCAGGCAAAUCCGGAAAAUCAAGGCUGAGGCGUGAUGACGAGGCACUACGGUGCUGAAGCAACAAAUGCCCUGCUUCCAGGAAAAGCCUCUAAGCAUCAGGUAACAUCAAAUCGUACCCCAAACCGACACAGGUGGUCAGGUAGAGAAUACCAAGGCGCUUGAGAGAACUCGGGUGAAGGAACUAGGCAAAAUGGUGCCGUAACUUCGGGAGAAGGCACGCUGAUAUGUAGGUGAAGCGACUUGCUCGUGGAGCUGAAAUCAGUCGAAGAUACCAGCUGGCUGCAACUGUUUAUUAAAAACACAGCACUGUGCAAACACGAAAGUGGACGUAUACGGUGUGACGCCUGCCCGGUGCCGGAAGGUUAAUUGAUGGGGUUAGCGCAAGCGAAGCUCUUGAUCGAAGCCCCGGUAAACGGCGGCCGUAACUAUAACGGUCCUAAGGUAGCGAAAUUCCUUGUCGGGUAAGUUCCGACCUGCACGAAUGGCGUAAUGAUGGCCAGGCUGUCUCCACCCGAGACUCAGUGAAAUUGAACUCGCUGUGAAGAUGCAGUGUACCCGCGGCAAGACGGAAAGACCCCGUGAACCUUUACUAUAGCUUGACACUGAACAUUGAGCCUUGAUGUGUAGGAUAGGUGGGAGGCUUUGAAGUGUGGACGCCAGUCUGCAUGGAGCCGACCUUGAAAUACCACCCUUUAAUGUUUGAUGUUCUAACGUUGACCCGUAAUCCGGGUUGCGGACAGUGUCUGGUGGGUAGUUUGACUGGGGCGGUCUCCUCCUAAAGAGUAACGGAGGAGCACGAAGGUUGGCUAAUCCUGGUCGGACAUCAGGAGGUUAGUGCAAUGGCAUAAGCCAGCUUGACUGCGAGCGUGACGGCGCGAGCAGGUGCGAAAGCAGGUCAUAGUGAUCCGGUGGUUCUGAAUGGAAGGGCCAUCGCUCAACGGAUAAAAGGUACUCCGGGGAUAACAGGCUGAUACCGCCCAAGAGUUCAUAUCGACGGCGGUGUUUGGCACCUCGAUGUCGGCUCAUCACAUCCUGGGGCUGAAGUAGGUCCCAAGGGUAUGGCUGUUCGCCAUUUAAAGUGGUACGCGAGCUGGGUUUAGAACGUCGUGAGACAGUUCGGUCCCUA
rnacentral:rRNA from 1 species